AACUGCCUGGGUAGAGGGUGCUUUAGAGAACUACCAUAUAUCUUGUGAUGUUGAUAAUAAAAAAAUUUGAUUGUCAAAAUUUUUAAGCACAAGUUGAAAAUAUAUGUUCUUUUUUCUUAUCCCAGGGAUUCUGAUUCAGGAGAUCUGGCAAGACAGAUAUUAUUUUUAACAAGCACUUCAGAUACCUUGGAAGGAAAUGGUCAGAAAAUGCUGGAAUAAACCUAAGGUUUUCCUGCCAACCUCGCUGGCCAGGGAUCAUCCACUGGCUUUCUGCCCUUCUACCCUCCAGUGCCAGGUGUUGUUGUGCACGUGAGGCUUGCUUCAACAGGAGGCCAUCGUGUGCAUCUGACAGAGAUGUGCAGAUCAAGAGGAAAGCCACCAGCAAUACUCUAUGCAACAGGGCCAGCACUCUGGACAGAUCCUGGGACCCAGGUCCAUCUCACGUUAGUGUUAAAACUCUAAGAAUAAGAAAUAUUGGUAUUCCUUCUUGUUCCUUAUUAAAAAUAGCUUAAUUAGUGGGGCAUGAAGCAUGAUGGCUUAAAAUUAUCACUCUGGGUGACACAGGAGUGCUUUUUCUCAAUUUGUGAAAUGUAUGUUUCGAGAAAUAAGACGUUUUGUUUUCAGUAACACUUAGAAACAGCUGAAUGAGCAGAACCUGUAUUGUUUCUUCUUUGUUAAAAAGCUUACUUUGGCAAUGACCAAUAUAUGUUCACAGUGGUGCAGAGAAAAGUGAACUCCUUUUUGCCCUGAAGGAGCUCCAGCAUAGAAGGUCUACCAUGUUAUGUGGUUCUCAUUAACAAGAAAGACCAAACAUAUCAUGAUAUAUUUGUGCCUUAGUGCUUGGUUGAUGGAAACUAUCUUGGAGGUGUUUUUAAAAAAUAAUAUGUUUAGGGGAAAAUUAGGCUGUUGGAUACUAUCUACUAAGAAGAAAAGGAUGAAAGAUUAAACAGGAGUUACUUUCCCAGGGUAACGAUUAAAUAUUCAUGCAGGACACAGCAAAUAAUCACAAGAAUGCUUUUUGGCAAGUCAGCAGUACAAUUUAUCUUUAAAAUACUUUACGAAAAUAAGCUAUUAAUCCUCCCACUCUUUAUAUAUUAAGUUAAAAAUAUUGCCCUUCACAUACCCCUUCCUUGUUUCUUUGCCCAUAAGCUUAAUUUUAUUUAAAUAAUGCUUAAUUUGAAUGUGUUUUUGCUAAUGCUUGAUAUAGUGCUUAGUGAUGGAUUCAUUGCUGCCUCCUGGGAGAAGCAUCUGAUAAAGUGACAUUCCCAAAGAAAAGAUGAAGUCAAAAUCUGCUGACCAUUCACAGCUUUAGAGCUCAUUUAUAACUUUUUGAACUUGUAGAUGAAUUGGACCUUUCCAG
rnacentral:lncRNA from 1 species